rnacentral:rRNA from 1 species
GAUGAACGCUGGCGGCGUGCCUAAUACAUGCAAGUCGAGCGAACAGACGAGGAGCUUGCUCCUCUGACGUUAGCGGCGGACGGGUGAGUAACACGUGGAUAACCUACCUAUAAGACUGGGAUAACUUCGGGAAACCGGAGCUAAUACCGGAUAAUAUAUUGAACCGCAUGGUUCAAUAGUGAAAGACGGUUUUGCUGUCACUUAUAGAUGGAUCCGCGCCGCAUUAGCUAGUUGGUAAGGUAACGGCUUACCAAGGCGACGAUGCGUAGCCGACCUGAGCGGGUGAUCGGCUACACUGUAACUGAGACACGGUCCAGACUCCUACGGGAGGCAGCAGUAGGGAAUCUUCCGCAAUGGGCGAAAGCCUGACGGAGCAACGCCGCGUGAGUGAUGAAGGUCUUCGGAUCGUAAAACUCUGUUAUUAGGGAAGAACAAAUGUGUAAAUAACUAUGCACGUCUUGACGGUACCUAAUCAGAAAGCCACGGCUAACUACGUG